UGGCUCAGAUUGAACGCUGGCGGCAGGCCUAACACAUGCAAGUCGAGCGGUAACAGAUGUAGCUUGCUAGAUGCUGACGAGCGGCGGACGGGUGAGUAAUGCAUAGGAAUCUACCCGGUAGUGGGGGAUAACCUGGGGAAACCCAGGCUAAUACCGCAUACGUCCUACGGGAGAAAGGGGGCUCCGGCUCCCGCUAUCGGAUGAGCCUAUGUCGGAUUAGCUAGUUGGUGAGGUAAUGGCUCACCAAGGCAACGAUCCGUAGCUGGUCUGAGAGGAUGAUCAGCCACAUCGGGACUGAGACACGGCCCGAACUCCUACGGGAGGCAGCAGUGGGGAAUAUUGGACAAUGGGCGAAAGCCUGAUCCAGCCAUGCCGCGUGUGUGAAGAAGGCCUUCGGGUUGUAAAGCACUUUCAGCGAGGAAGAACGCCUAGUGGUUAAUACCCAUUAGGAAAG
rnacentral:rRNA from 1 species